AUGAAAUGAGAGUAUUAAUAUAAAACAAAUGGGGAUGUGUCAAAAAUUUUAAAAAGGAACUAGAAAUAAGGGUUUGUUGCCACCACCCCUGCACCCUAAAUGUUUCUCAACCCCGAAUGUCACCACCUAAGGUCAAUGCACGUUUUGUUACCUUUGGCCAGAAAACUGAUUGAACAAUUCAUCGAUAACUCGAUCAACUUUUAUAUCCCACCUGGUAUAGGUCUAAUUGACGACACUAAAACUAACACACCCAUCAAUUCAUGUUCUCACUAAUAAAAAAUGAAACAAGGAGCAAAACAGCACAUACACACAUAACACCAUAAAAAAUGUCAAUUAACAAAACCAAAAGUGGAUCCAAUCUACGUCAGCGCAGCUCAUGUAAA
rnacentral:lncRNA from 1 species